UUAUGGUCAUGUCCGCAGAGAAUAUAAUCCUGUUUUUGAGACAAAAGAAAAGUAGACUGUUAUGUGUUUGAUAAAAUGCCUAAGAGAGAGUGUGUUUGUGUUUUUAAGUGAGAGUAGUACCAGAGGGGUUCGUCUUGGAUAACGGCAUGGUGGAGAGUGGAAGUUGAAUUUUUUAUUCACUAAUCAAGUGUUUCAAAUGAUUCUGCAGUUUUACUGCUGGCAGAUAUUUUUUCAGAAUUUUGGUUGUUUUGCUCUGUUUGGUUGGUAGAUUUAAUUUAGUUUCGGGGAAAGGUUCCCAACAUAAGAUUUUAUUCUAUACAUUUAUUUAUGGAGGAUAAAAAUUAUUUUUCCAUUUUUAACUUGAAGUUUUGCUGCCGAUCCAGAUUUCCAUGCAACAGGGCCCAUUUAUGGUGCGGAUUACUUGUCCUCAGUGUCAUGGAGAAUGGGAAAUUGUACGGUUCUCUUCGUGAUGAAAAAAUCUAUUGUAGUUGUGAUAUCCACAUUUUUACCAAUAGUCGUAAGCGACGUAGCAUGGUUAGGGCGCGUUAUUCUGAUUUGAAGUGUAAUCAUCUGUGGUUUUACGGUGAACCUCACAGCCGAUUACAGACGAGAUUCGGAGACUUGAUGCAAGGUGAUUGGAAUCAUGUUGAUAUUUCAUGUAUAAUCGAUCACUGGGCAAGGUACAUGUGGAAUGCAUAUGUCCAGUCCUCCUCAGAAUUCCGUUAUCAUCCAACACAAUUCUCAAAAUAUUGAUGACUGACACAGAGCUGCUCACCUUUACUAUCUCAAAAUGGUUCACAUAUGAAUGUUGGUAUCUCAACGGACUCAGACACGGGAGACCCUUCAAGCUCCUCUAGUCCCUGUGGAUUUACUCAGCAGAUGGCAAUGGGUUCUUUAAUAGCCAAUCCCUUUAUAAAAAGAUGACUCCAUUUUCAAUCUAUAUCCACUGUCAAAGAAACUGAGUCCAAUGCAAAGAAAUAUGCCCAGGAGUAGAUAAUUAUGAGACCACAAAGGUGAGUAGAAGUGGCGCGCAGAUCCUGAUGGAAAUCAACCUGGUGAUCUUUAUAUUGUCAUUAAGGCAAUUUUGGGGGGAACAAUCCAGGUUCCAACUCUCACAGGAGACGUAGUCGUCAAGGUUUGUUUAAUGUUUGUAUAUGAUUAGUGCUUGUGCAAUGGGAAAAUUUCAUUUGGAAUUUUCAUUUGAUUGCUUUGUUGAGGUUCUGUCAUUUCAUUUGGAAUUUACUCAUGCAACUCAUGUGACUUGAUUAUUGGACUUGACCCCCAGAUAGGAUGGUGACUGGGUCAGUUAAUAAUGAGAUCUGGUUUGUUUGUUGAGGUUCUUUCAUGUCCACCCUUUGUUGGGACUAUGAAAACCAAAGCCAAAUAGCAUCUCUCUAUGCCUCCAUGUCAUUCCUAUGGGGUUGGCCUUUAGCCUAAGAUUACUGGCUUCUUGUAAAGGUUCUUUCUUGUUCUAGUUCCUAUAGUAUCAUGGUUUAACUAUUUUAUGAUGUUCAGGUUUGCUCUGGCAUCCAGCCUGGUCAAAUGGUAGUUUUGAAGAAGAAAGGGAUCAAGACGAGGAACUCUUAUUCAUUUGGUGAUCAAUAUGUGCACUUCAAUGUUAGCAUUCCAUCAUAGGUUUCCUUGUCUUAGCCAUUGUUUUUGCAGGGUUUUUCACCUUCCAAAACGAAUUUGACCCCAAGGCAAAGUGAAUUGGUUGAAGAGUUUGCCAAAGAAGAGUAAAGGGAAUAUGAAAAGUGUGCUACUGCUGGAGCAUCUGGGUAAAAAUGUAAACCAAAAAAGGCUUCAUUUCUUUGACAAUUCAUAGAAAGUCAAGCUUAGCAAAAAAGGAUAAAGGCAACCGAAGGAAAAGCAUCAAUUGUUGAAAGACCCACCCACUCUAUAAGUUUUGUAGGAGUGACUCUGGGUCAUUUUUGUCCAAGUAUUUUUUUUU